rnacentral:lncRNA from 1 species
AUGAAACAGUCCUUCUAACAAUAUUUGUUUCUAUUCUUAUAGGUUCUGUUGUGGUGGUUUUUUGUUGCUGUUGUUUUCUUUUUGUACUUGAAAAUAUAAAAUGAAGGAAAGUCAAAAGGAUGAGCAUUUCUCGGAACCAUCUCAGAAGGGAAGAGAGUAUAACAGCCAAAGAAUUCAGAAUACUUCAUCAUUAAGGAGGUCUACUACAUACCAAGUACUGCCAGACAUGAAUUCCUCUGGGUGUUUCAUCAAAAAAUGAGCCAGGCACCAGAAUGUCUCCCAGGCACCAACACCAUUUUUAUUAGAGACAUCAAAAAGGAGUAAAACAAAUACCAAGAUGCAACAACUGCUACAAAGGAGCUGGAAAAAGAAGAAGAAGAAAAAAUAAGACAAAGUAAAUGAGAUAAAGUUGAAAGGAACUGAAGACCAAAAUGCAGACAUCUGAGGAACUUUACACAGACUGUAAAACAACAAGAACCAGUCUCCCAUACAAAAUAAUGUGAAAAGAAAUCCCAGCUGUGGCACUCCCUUCUUUAGAAAAAAAUGAGAUGAAGUGUUACUUCUUUCUAUGGCUUUUGUUUGCUUUGUUAUUGUAUUGUAAACUAUUUGGGAUUAGAAAUAUUACUGUAUGUUGCUAGAAAAUUUAGGUGCACUGAGCUUACUUGAGUUCUCUGUUCUUUUGGUAGUGUGAACAAAAGUGUCUGUAUAGAAUGGCUAUUAAAAGUACUUGAUAUCAACUUCUGCAUACUCAGUAUUCUUUCUAUAUUCUGUUAUUAUCAUUUUAUUUAUAUUCUUAUAAAUAUUAUUUAAUUAUCAAAGUAUUUUAUCGGUUUCAACCCAUUUAUGUAGAUUAUCAAGGUUUAGUUGAUAGUA